rnacentral:rRNA from 1 species
AUGCGAAGUUUCAUAAAAACUCAUGUUCAAAGCUGCAUAGUAUGCCAACAGGCCAAACCUGAAAGAGUUCCUUCGCCUGGGUUACUGCAACCACUACCAAUUCCUUCCCUACCUUGGGAAAUGGUAACAAUGGACUUUGUUGAAGGAUUACCUACAUCUGGCCGUUACAACUGUUUGUUCGUGAUCAUUGACAAGCUUUCCAAAUACGAGCAUUUUGUUCCAUUACAUCACCCAUUCUCUGCUGAAACUGUAGCUGAAGCCUUUCUGAAUUCAGUCUACAAGUUGCAUGGAAUGCCUCGCUCUAUCGUUUCGGACCGUGAUCGCAUUUUCACUAGCAAGUUUUGGAGUGAGCUUUUUCAGAAAUCUGGGGUUCAGCUUCGCAUGAGCUCGGCUCGCCAUCCUCAAUCUGAUGGGCAGACGGAGCACGUCAACCAGUAA